CCUCUCAGAUCUUUUCAGCUGAGAAACCCGUGUCUCCUCUGGUUGAGAAGUUCCAGUGAGAGAGAGCUGAGUGCCUUCUCAGUGAGGUGGGAGAUGGGUGUUCAGCGCAGUGGCUGGGGAGUCCUGGACUCCCAUUCUGGCUCAGUGCAUCUCUCAUUUGUCCGAAGCAGGAAACCAAGAGCAGAGAGGACCAGAAGAGAAGACAUUCUAGAGAAAGAGCCAAGGAGGCUGCUGAUUCUGAAGCAGCUCCAAAGAGGGUGGUUUUGACAAGGGCCUGGUUCCUGAGAAAAUAAAGGAGGUCUGAUUCCAGAUAGCAGGCAUUUCCCAAGAAAGGACUCCAGCUUUGUGUUUGCCCCUAGCUCUUGUGUGGUGGUCUGCCUAUGGUGCCCUGUAUGGAUGCUUAACAUGGGGGAGUAAAUGCACAAAUGGGGUGCUGCACGAGUGUGAUGCCAGUGGACCCUACUGAUGAACUGACAGUGAGAACUGCCAUCCCCUCCCCAUCUUUAUCCCAGUUUUUUUUUUUAAAACCUAAAUCUAGGUUCUCACACUGUGGGAAAAUGUAAACUUUUAUCUGUAUUGAACUGUAAGGGGCAUCGUGGAGAGGACUGAGAGAGAGAGGUUCAGGAAAGAAGAUGGUUUUAGAAGAGAAACCCAAGAUCACAUGAGUGAUGGCAGC
rnacentral:lncRNA from 1 species